GCGACAGUAGCUCAAUUGGCUAGAGCAUCAGUUUUCCAAACUGAGGGUUGCGGGUUCGACCCCCGUCUGUCGCUCCA
rnacentral:tRNA from 1 species